CCAUUGUUAUGUAUAAAAGUCUCCUGCUCCUCUUGUGUUGGUUUUGUGCAUUAAUAGUAAAAAACACCAAUUUUUUAUGUUGCAAAAUAAUUGAUCCCAAAACUCCUUCCAACUUUUGGAUCUACAUUAUUUUUGAUUUGUUACUGUUAAAAGUGAAACUUUAUAGUCAAGAUAAUAUCUCUGUGUUGUUAAAGAGAUAGAUCACCCCGCAAGACUACUGCUUGACCAUAAAAUUUAAACAACUAUGAGCCUAUAGGGCCCAUUCACAAUUGGGCUAGGCCCUUUCGUCCAUUGGACACUCC
rnacentral:lncRNA from 1 species